UCCGCCGAGUUCGACUUUGCCUUUCAUCCUUUCGAGGUCGAUAAAUUAAGUACCAGUUGCAUACUAGGGUCGAUCUAAUCCACUGGCACCCUUUCCAAAAAUUUAGGGCAUUGUGCCUAGAGUUGAAAGGAUAUUUCACUAGAAGAAUGUGCAUAAAUAACAUUACAUUU